CGGUGGAAGAUUAUUGGAGCCCUUACAUUUCAUAUUUAACUUUUUCUCAUGCCUGCCUGUUCAGCUGUCAUUUCCCUACCUCUCCUCCUGUCACCAGUGCCCAGGACAGCUGCGGCUCCACACUCAGCAGAACACAUCAGGAUCUUUGUGCAGGGGUGAGCCAUUGAAUGUGUCAUAAUACCACACCAACUUGUGCUUAAUGGACCUGACAUGGGAUUCUCCUUGGCUCCUCUGUCUGAUUUCUAGAUGACCUCAUGCAGGGACUGUGCUGUGCUGUUCAUGUGAGCAUUCCACUCCCUUCUGAGAACUCUGCUGCUUUCACCUGAUCGUAAAGACCCACCUUUAAGGUUAAAGCUAAGGGAGAAGUUACAUGAGCUCAUAAGAGGAAGCCCUACUGCUCUUCAGGGGCAAGCUCAGGUGAUGACUUUCUGUCUGAAGCUUUAACUUGCCAGAUGAUAUUGCAUAUCUGCCCAGACUUCUGCAUUGUGGAGGCCACAGAACUCACUGAGGGAUUCUUGUGAUUGUUCAGUCGUGUUAUGCUGACAGCAGUCACUAAGAAUGCACUAGGGCUUGGUUUCUAGAAUCAAAUUAUGUGAAAUCUG